rnacentral:lncRNA from 10 species
CCAGGUUCAAGGCAUCGCGCACCCUGCGGCAGCGGCUGCGCUGCCUCAGCCCACAGCUCAGACCUGCGGGUGGCCGCGACUCAGGCCGGGACCCGGUCGCACCUCUGUGACGCAAAGCCCCGCCCCCCGCGCGUUGCCGGGAGACGGCGCCCAACCUUCCUCUGCAGCGCCCCUACCGACCCGCGCUCCGCAGCUCCUGAGGGCUUUCGAGCCCAGAUGGUCAUCUGAGACGAGAGGUGGCGGCGAAGGAGAGUCUCGCCUGUCACGCUCCCGGAGCAGGGGCUUCAUGAGGUGGCCAUGGAAACAGCCUGGCAGACUCCCAUCUCUCCUGGUGCCAUCUCCGGAGCGGAAAGUGGAGCGCCCCGCUGGCGACCAAGGCCGCACUGAGAGCCCUGGUUUGGUCAACAGUUGGGCUCCAAGGAGCCCUGGUAUUCCUUGAACAUGCAUACCUUUCCCAGCGUGAGGGACAUGGACCGUGCCGUGCGAGGGACCCCAUCUUCUGCAGCAGGAGGGAGCAGAGAAGAGAACACAGGGAUUCCUGUUGCUAAAAGGUCUGUUUUCUCCUGCUAGCCACCCUCAUCAGCCAGAGUUCAAACCCUGACAGUGCCCAUGGAGAGAUCUGGUCCAAGGCACCAACCUCUUCCUGCUGGACUGAGAAAGAGCCUCCUACUGUGUCUCUCUUUACCUCAGCUUUUGCACACCUCCAAUAUAUUGUCCACUGAAGUCAGAAUAAUCUAAAAAUAAAGGCUGAUUACCUCAU